UAAUUUCAAAUUUUAAAUCUGAUUAAUGAUAUCUUCCUUAAGUGACAUUUAAAUCAUUUUAUUAACCGCUCCAUUUUUCUUUUGUUUGGGAAAAUAGCAUAAAGGGAUGGGUGAACUAUAAGAAGCCACAAAUUCGAUCGUUUUUGCGGUUAAAAUGGCGUCUACGAAUUAGAAUAUGAUGCUAUAUAAAGCAAAACCCUUUGGCCGACCACACGCCUGAUUCAUUUCCUUUCCCUAAAUUCGUAUGGAAAAUCUAGUUAAUAGCUCUCAGAAAUUCCCUAAAAUGAAGUUUAAUUAGCAUUGUUGCUCAGACAUGUCUACUCCUAAUUUGUAAUCACAGUCGCAUUUCGUCCAAUUCGAGUAAUCAAUCAUGCGGUGGCUAUUGCGGCGGAGCGGCGAUAUUGCGCUGAUCGGUGGAACGUCAAAAUUAGGGUUAAGUGAGUUCCGGCGCACGGUGGUCUCGAGCUGUAGAGCGGUGCUUCUGCCGCGGUUCGGCGGGCCGGAGGCACUGGAGCUCCGGGAGGAUGUGAUAAUUCCUGAUCUCAAGCCGAAUGAGGUCCUCGUCCGAGCUCGCGCCGUCUCCGUCAAUCCACUCGACUGUAGAAUUCGCGCGGGCUAUGGUCGUUCAUUGUAUGAACCACUUCUUCCUUUGAUAUUAGGCCGUGAUGUUAGUGGUGAAGUUGCAGCUGUUGGCAAUUCUGUACGCUCGCUCAUUGUUGGGCAGGAAGUGUUUGGCGCUCUUCAUCCUACGGCUGUGAGGGGUACUUACACUGAUUAUGUAAUUCUUGCAGAAGAUGAACUUACCCCAAAACCAGAAACAAUUUCACAUGUGGAUGCUAGUGCUAUCCCUUUCGCUGCCCUGACUGCUUGGCGUGCACUGCAAAGUAUAGCAAGAAUAAAGCAGGGACAAAGAGUGUUAGUGGUGGGCGGAGGAGGAGCUGUGGGCUUUUCUGCAAUUCAGCUUGCAGUGGCUGCAGGAUGUCAUGUGUCCACAACUUGUGGAGGGGAAAGUGUGGAGCGUAUAUUGGCUGCUGGUGCUGAGCAAGCUGUUGACUUUACCACUGAGGACCAUGAACGAUCAAUAAAGGGUUAUUUUGAUGCUGUAUUAGACACAAUCGGCAUACCUGAGACAGAAAAAAUGGGUAUUAACCUUUUGAAGAGAGGAGGACAUUACAUGACAUUGCAGGGAGAGGCUGCGUCCUAUGCUGAUACAUAUGGACUAGCAAUUGGCCUUGCUAUGGCUACAACAGUUCUAAUGAAGAAGCAACUUCAGUGUCGUAUUUCUCAUGGAAUAGACUAUCAAUGGGCUUACAUGAGAGCCGAUGCUGAAGGUUUAUAUGAAAUCGGCCGGCUAUCUGCCAGUGGCAAGCUGAAAGUACCUGUUGAAAAGUCAUAUCCAUUCACACAGGUGAGAGAGGCCCACGAGGCAAAGGAUAAGAGGAUCGUUGCUGGUAAAGUUGUUCUAGAACUCGACUAGCUCUCAACGACCAAGCCAACAAGCCCGACCCUCUCUACCUCAGAAUGUUCUUACGUGGCAAUCUAUUGUCCAUCAGUAGUUCAAAGUUUUGAGUAUAAUAGUCAUCAUGGAGUGGCGAAGCAAGCGCUGCAUUCGCGCUAAAUAAGUACUUACUGAGAAUACGAACAAUUCCCGCAGAAGAUCAGUAGCAGCUUCGACGGCCCUUUCCUCGUUGAGGGGUCGGAUUUCCAGUGCCGUUGAACGACCAAGGGUAUGUCUUUGCAUUAUGGUGGUUAAUCGAUGGUAGCCCUAAUUCAACAUAGUGUUUGAUGAGUAUUUUUGAAUCGAAAAUAAAGUAUAUAGAAAUUAGUACCUGAGCGAGAUUGAUGAUGAGGCCGCGGAACUUAGGGUGGUAGACGGCGGCUUGUUUGAGGCGGGUGGCGAUGGGCUUCGAUAUGGUUCUUACGAAAAGUGAUCCCAGUUUAAUCACGGGCAAAACCAUUUUGAUAUUUCUACUCGACCAACACUAAUCUAAUUGUGUUGCAAUUUAUGUUAGUAAAGAGUAUGUUGGGAUUUUGGUGGAGUUGCGUGAGGAACAAGAUUGAGACUGCGAGAGGCGGAUUUCAGUUUGGAUUAUGUCGUGGAUUGUGGGAAAAGGAAACAACCCAAUUAAGCGUUACACAAU